rnacentral:rRNA from 1 species
CGUGUAGGCGGCCAGUCAAGUCGGGUGUGAAAGCCCUCGGCUCAACCGAGGAAGUGCGCCCGAAACUAGCAGGCUUGAGUACCGGAGAGGAUGGCGGAAUUCCCGGUGUAGAGGUGAAAUUCGUAGAUAUCGGGAGGAACACCAGCGGCGAAGGCGGCCAUCUGGACGGAUACUGACGCUGAGACGCGAAAGCGUGGGGAGCAAACA